GAAGCUGAGAAAUCCCCGCAUCCCUGCUCUCCCCCCUCGCCAACCCCGCCUGCGCGCACCGAUGCUAGCAAAGCCUCUCCAACCCCCGGGUGGGAGCUGCGCUGGCUCUGGGUGCUGUGGGGAGAGGGGCAGGGUCUGUCUGUGCCCCCCGCAGGCCUGCCCAGCACCUCGGCAGCUCCAGGACCCCAUGCCCAUGCUUGUUUACUUCAAACAUCUGCGCUGGAACACUUGGACGCGGCGCUGCACGCCGUGCAGCAUCCUGGCAUGCCCACCGAUGGAGGAUUGGCAGCAUAUGGGCGGCUGAACAACGGCGCUGUGCAUUUACACACGCACCACAAAUAAAGCAGGUGACUCUGGAAGGCUUCGGCUCCCUCCCUCCCUCCCCGUGCAGGGAGCCCUGGGCACGCCAGCACAGCCUGGCAGCGAAAUUCCUGGAGACGGCACCGGGAGGGGAAAAACCACGGGGAGAGCUGCCCAAGCUGCGCCCCUCGCCUCGCUCUGCCCCUUCCCGGCGGGGCCGAGCUCUGCCCUGCAGCUUCGCCCGCUCCUGGAGGCUGCUGGCCCCAGCGGGAGCCUCUCCUCCUCCUCCUCCUCCUCACCCCACCGAUCCAGGCUCCACCUCGCCCAACUUUUCCUUACGUUUUCCCUUCACCUGGAGGGUGUGAUUUUAAUUAGCGCAACAUCCCCGCUAACAACAGCAGCUAAUGAAGCCAUCCGCUACGCACCCGUAACGCAAAACUUAACGAGAAGUUGUGCCGAGGCUUCCUCCGCGGGCACCGGGCAGGGCUGCAGCCGCCAACUCCGGCAGCCGCCGCCGGGAACGCCGCGCCGAGCAGCGCCCGGCCCCGAGCACCGGGAAGGCGCCGCACCCCCGAGGGGAAACCUCCCCCCGGCGGCCCCGGGCACGGCGAUGCCGCGCUGCACCCCCCCGGUACCCCCAGCCCCGCGGGGCUCCCCCAAAUCCCAACCCCGACGGCCCCGGGGACGCCCCGACGGAGCUUCCCCGCCGCCCCCGGCGCAGCACCGGGGCGAGCCGCCCCC
rnacentral:lncRNA from 1 species